CGAAAGCCUGACGGAGCAAGACCGCGUGAGGGAGGAAGGCUCUUGGGUUGUAAACCUCUUUUCUCAGGGAAGAAUACUGACGGUACCUGAGGAAUCAGCAUCGGCUAACUCCGUGCCAGCAGCCGCGGUAAGACGGAGGAUGCAAGCGUUAUCCGGAAUUAUUGGGCGUAAAGCGUCCGCAGGUGGCUGAUCAAGUCUGCAGUCAAAGACCGGGGCUUAACCCUGGAAAGGCAGUGGAAACUGAGAAGCUAGAGUGUGGCAGGGGCAGAGGGAAUUCCCGGUGUAGCGGUGAAAUGCGUAGAGAUCGGGAAGAACACCGGUGGCGAAAGCGCUCUGCUGGGCCACAACUGACACUCAGGGACGAAAGCUA
rnacentral:rRNA from 1 species